UAGCUAAAGUGAAGCAGAGUAUCAAGCAAUCAUCUGGGGACUUUGAUUAACAUGGACAACAAAUCUGAAUAAUCCAUGUCCUGAGAGUCCUGGUUUUUGUCUAGCUCAGAACACAUUACUAAUGAGGUUAAAGUUACUGUAGGUUUGUUCCUUGAAUGGGGGCAGUUAGUUGUGAUCUGUUCCAUGGCCACAAAAUGCACCUCUAACCUCAGCCAGCUGUCUUGGAAAAUGAGUGUCCUUGGUCAUACAGGCAGUCAUGCAAGAAACCUAACAACCAAUCUCUACCAGUUGGAAAGUAAAAUAAAAUGUAUUUCCUGUGGACAGUAGGUCAGCAGUGACAUUUUUGUGUAAAAUAAUAAUUGUAACAAUAAUUCUUACAUAGCUCUUACUCUGUGCCAACAGUGUUCUAAGCACUUUUUACAUACAUUAACUUACAGUGUUCACACUCCUGUGUAUUAUUGGUAUACACAUUUUACAAAUGAGGAAAUGGAGGCACAGAAAGGCUAUUUUGCCCCACAUAAAAAUAGAUGACAUUUUAAUCUUUUCUAGGUAUUUUGCCACUCUAUCAAGAAAGUUAAGGACUCUCAAGCUUUUGGAUGCUUAGAAAAUACAUCAGAGGAGGACAGAAACUCAGAUAUCUCUGCAUCCUGAAUUCAUUGGUGGAAUUGCUACUGUGCCCAGUAAAAGCAUUUCAGUCAUGCAAGGAGAGGAUGUUAAGGUAAAGGAAUGAAACCGAAGACCAGAAAGUGGUAAAAAGCAGCAGUGAAGAAACCAAAACUAAAACAAACCAGCAAAGACCAUAUUCAGCUCACAGCCUUUCAGGAACUGAAGUAGAUCAUUGGCCCAGACUCUCCACUGAAUCCGAAGAAUGCUUUGCAGGGGAUGUUCAGAGGCUUACCUGAGAAUGAGAGAAAAAGAAAUGAGCAAAUGACUCCUGAUUAUCAGUGGGAGACAGGAAGCGACCAUUUAACAUCCAAAGGAAAACUCAGAGGUUAAGCAAUUCAUCUCCUAGUUUUUACAAAUUGUCACAACUCUCCAAAAAUUUUCUGAUAUAUUUGUGGAGAAAGACCCACAUGUAAGUGAACCAACAGAGUUCAAACACAUGUUGUUUUAAGGGUCAACUAUAUAGGUAAGUAUCAUAUAGAAAAUCCCCUUUACCAUUUUUGAGAGAUGUGAUAGGCUAAUUGUUAAACCUAUGAAUAUCCUGUUACCUAUUUCUAUGUAACAAAUUACCCUAAAACUUAGUGACUUAAAAUAAUCAACAUUUAUUAUUUCACAGUUUCUGUUUGUCAGAUAUUUGUGUAUGGCUUAGCUGGUUCUGUUCAGUAUCUCCUAGGAGGUUGAAGUCUUGACUAGGUCUUCAAGAUCCACUUCAAGAUGGCUCACUUACAUGGCUGUUAGCAGGAAGCCUCAGUUUCUCACCAUGGUAGGCCUCUCCAUAGGAUACCUAAAUGUCCUCAUGACAUGGCUGUAAAUUUCCCUCUGCGCAAACGACCUGAGAGAGAGCCAGUGAGGAGGAAGACACAGUACCUUUUAUGAUCGAAUCGCCAAGCUAAAACCAAGACUCUUGAUUUGAGAGACAGAGGAACCUGUGAUAUUCUUUGCAAAAUUUGUCAACUGUACACCCUGUGAAAAGAGAGAAGAGAACCAAAAGACCUCUCGAGCAAAAGAUAUUGCCACAAAGUCCUCCAGAAACCAUACCACUUCUUGACAGUGCAUGGAUUCUCUUCCAUUCCAUUAGCAUCAGUGAUACUUUUAAUGGGUGUGGAAGGCCGUGAGAACUGGAAGCUGUUCUGCCACUAUCAAAGGGGGCUCACCUGAUUUGGAAAAGUGAGCACUGGCAACACCCAUGCCCAACCGUGUUGUCAGUGGAAGUGAUCAUCUUGGACACAAGAUGUUGCUCUUGUUAAUUGCACUCUGCAAGUGGUAAGCAUCUGGACCUGCAUUUCAUUACAAAACUACCAAAACAGAAUUCUAUAUCCAGUGAAACUAUCCUUCAAAAAUGAAGGCUAAAUAAGGAUGUUCCCAGAUUAAUAAAGACUGAGAGAAUUUGCUGUUAGCAAAUCUACCUUCUAAGAAAUACUAAAGGAAGACCUUCAAUGCUGAAAGGAAAUGACACCAGAUCCAGAACUACGGGAAGAAAUGUAGAGCAACGGAAAAGGGCUGGGCCAUACAGUAUGUACUCAAGAUUUAGUAGUUAAUUGACUGAUUGAACUUUAUAGAGAAGUACAGAUACAAUAUUACGGAAAUUCAGAGGAGAGAAAUUACUAACAACUUGAGCAGGUGGAAAAGCAUUGAAGCUUGGUAGAGAAGAUGGUGGAACUGUGCAGCAUUGAGACAUGUCCAGUUGGAGAGAUAUGAAGCUGGGUGAAAGUAGUACAAGAGGAGGCAACUGAAUGUACAACGGCAAAGAGAAAGAAGAAUCAGUGGAUGUGCAGAGGAAAGAGUGUGCAGGGAGCUUCCGGUAGCUGCCACAAUCCUUGGCUAGUGACCCCUUCCACCAUCUUCAAAGUCAGCAUCAAUCUUUAAAAAGCAUCUAUAACCCACUGAAUAAGAUGGGUUAGAAGAUGAAGCUGCUGAGAAGUGCUGCAAAGCUGAUGGUAUUGAUAUCAACACAGACAUCAUAUGCUUUUGGGGAACAGUGCACUCAGUUGACACUUAUUCCUAAUAAAUUCAAACAGUGGAGAGUUCUCUAACUUAUUUUUAAAGUCUCUUUAAUCUAUACUUCCUAUUGUUGAAUGAUACAAAUUAGUUUCUUGAUCUCUGUUCAGAUACUGGGUUACAUACAAUUUUUGGCCAUUUAAGUAUACUGUAAAUCCCUCCAGAAAACUUUCUUAUAUUGUCUUGUGCUUCACAGCUAGUUUUCAGGCAUAUGUACUGCUUACAAAUUAGUUUGGUAUUUAAAAAGGAGUUGUGGCUUGAGUUACAAAGAUUUAAAGUUAAAGCAAUGCUCUUAAUAAUUUCUAUUUUCUCACUGAAUCAAUUCACACUAGACACCCCUUUAACUUCCAUAUACAUGAUCACUCACCUUCUGUCCAAAAAUCUAUUUUAGGAAAGAGCAGAAGUACAAGAGGACCUUGUAAACAAUACUACUAAUAUUAGUAGGAAUACGGCAAGGUUUAAGAGUGACAACUUUAGCUUCACUACUUUCAAGCUGCUUACUAGCUGGGACAAGUUGUAUAAAUUCUCCGAGCCCAUUUUCCUCAUUUAAAAAAGGGGCCAUAGACAUUUUUCCAAAGACAUACAAAUGGCCAACAAGCACAUGAAAAGAUGCUCAAUAUAGUUAACCAUUAGGGAAAUAUAAAUAAAAAACACAAUUUCAACCACAAUAGUACUACAUACACAUUAGAAUAAUUAUGUUAAAAAUAAAAAAAUAACAAGUGCUUUCAAGAAUGUAGAGAAAUUGGAACCUCUGCAUUACUGAUAGGAAUGUAAAAUGGUACAGUCUCUUUGGAAAGCAGUCUGAUAGUUCCUCAAAAGGUUAGACAUAGAAUGACCGAAUGACCCAGCAAUUCUACUCCUAGGUAUACACAAGAGAAAUGGAAACAUAUGUCCACACAUAAAUUUGUACAUGAAUGCUCACAGCAGCAUUGUUCAUAAGAGCCACAGAAUACAAAUGAUCAAAAUGUCAGUCAACUAACUAAUGAAUAAAUAAAAUGUGGUCGAUUAUUAUUUAGCAAUGAAAAGGAGUGAAGUACUUAUACAUGCAAUAACAAUGACUGAACCUUGAUAACACUAUGCUAAAUGUAAGAAGCCUAUCACAAAAGACCACAUGUUACAUAUUUUAUUCAUAUUAAAUAUCCAGAAUAGGCAAAUCUAUAGUUACAGAUAGUUGAUUAAUAACUACCUAAAGCUGAGGAUGGGGUGAGGCUGAGGGACUGAGGAGUGACUGUCAAUGGGUACAGAGUUUCUUUCUGGGGUGUUGAAAAUGUUAUGAAAUUCUGGUGAUGCUUGCACAACAUCGUGAAUAGACCAAAAAUCAUUGAAAUGGAUGUUUUAAAUUGCCAAUUGUACGGUAUAUGACUAAUAUAAUAAUAAAACUGUUAAAAUGAGGCAAGUAGUUGGGUUUAUCACAAAGAGUUGCUGGGAAAAUUAAAUAAAAUAAGCUAUAUAAAGUAUUUAAUAUAGUGCCUAGUACCCUGUAAGCAAUCAAUAAGUGACAGCUCCACCACCACCACCACUGCCACUACUACUACUACUGAUAUUAUCACUACAAAUAAUAAUAAUUAUUAUUAGUAGUAGAAUUAUUAUUAAAUAAGAUUAUAAUAAUAAUUGCUAUUCUUAGCAGUACUAGAAAUGUUAUUAAAUUAUACUAAGUAGAGUAAUAACAUUAUUAUUUGUAAUAGUAGAGCUGUUAUUAAAUAAUAAUUACUAUAGUUGUUAAUAUUAUUUAGCUGUCCUUAUUAGAAUGAUAGUUUUUUCCUAGGAUAGAGUUUGGGGUCUAGAUAAUGUUACCAUACCCAGUGUGCUAUAAUAAAAAGAAAAAACUUCGGAGUGAAACAGAUCUUGUUGAAAUCCCAUCUUUGUCACUUACUAAUUAUGUAACAUCAUGUAAGCUAUUUCACCUGUCUGUGGUUACGUUUCCUCAUCUGCAAAAUAAUUCAACAAUAUCUACUACUACUUUGAGCUCUUAUGAGUAAUAAGACACUGUAUGUGCAAAUACCCAUUUUAGUGCCUAGUACCUAGUAAAUUCUCAAAUAAUUUUGGUUUCAAAUAUAUGAAAUAAUGGUUUUGGCUUUUUAAAAAUAUGAUGAAACACCAUCAAACUUGUAUCAGUAUCUCAAUAAGACAUAAGCCUAAGCAAUGCCCCCAAACACCAAUGUAUGCAUAGAGGACUGGUUAACAAUCAUGCUAUUUAAGAGAUGUUCGUAAUCACAUUGUUAGAUUAUAACAGACACUAUUUAGUAAACUGUUAACUUUUUUCCCAUUUCAUUCUUAAAAAUCUCAAAACAAGCACAGCUGUUAUAGAAACUUAGACAAAGUAAGGGAACCAGUUUCAGUCUCACUCAAUACUGCAGCCAACUCUUAAGGAAAAGGCUUGGUCCAGAUUUUCCAAAGCUGUAAAUAAUGCACAUGGUAUAUGAUCUGGGCAAUAGAAUGGUUUUCAGUUUGGGGUAGCUCACGCUAAGCUUGUGCGUGUUAUCCUGAAUAAAUAGGUCUUUUGGAAACAACUCACUAACCCUAGAAUGUCUACAAGGGUGAGGAAAUUCUGCCAUGAACUAGCUCCCAUUACGUGUGCCAAGAAAACUGAGUUAGUUCAUAAUACCCUCCUUCUUACUCUCCAAAGUCUCCAUAGUGUUCAGUUAUUCAAGAUUACAUAAAAGUUUUUAAGGAGUUAUUUGAAACUAAGAGGGUAAGAAUAUGAUAUAAAAAAUUUAAAAAAUCCCUUGCUUCCACCAUUAUACACACAAUGCAUAUACCAAGUUAUGACUCCAGCUAAUGAAAUAACCAUGUAUUACUAUUUGCAUUAACAAUAAUUCUACUUCAUCCAUGUCCCUACAAAGGACAUGAACUCAUCCUUUUUUAUGGCUGCAUAGUAUUCCAUGGUGUAUAUGUGCCACAUUUUCUUCUUAAAGUAUAAAAAAAAAUAAAAAUAAAAAAAUAAAAAAUACAAUAAUUCUAGUUUGACAUUUAGCUCAGUUGUUGACUUGCUUUGGAUUGUUCAUUUUAUUUCAACUUUAGAAGGAGUUGAUUAAUUUUGUUAAACUUAAUUGAUUCAAGGGUAUCAUAAAUUUCCAUUUUUAGUAUUUGCCACAUUAAAGCAAAUGGUGGACAAUUUAUGAUUUCAAAAGGUUCUAUUCUUGGUAAUUCUUAAUUAUUUUCAGAUAAAUCUAGUAAUUGGGUUGAAGCUACAGAGUUUUGUCAUUGUUUUUAGUGAAAGCCUAAGCAUAUAGAACAUGAGGUCCUGCCACAAGAAAAAUCAUUUUCCUUUUUCCCUCUUUUGGCAGUUCUCAUAUUGCGAUGCAAUUCUACUUAUGCACAUCUGUUUCCCCACUAGAUUGAGAACUCCUUAAGGCCAAGAAAUUCAUUUAAUUCACCUCUGUAUUUUCAGGAGCUAAUAUGCUGGCAUCCAGUAAGAACUCAAUAAAUGUUUUUAGGUAAAUAAUGUUUUAUAAAAAACAUAAAUUUAGUUGAAUAGCUUAUUUCCUAAUUUGGGAUUAAACUGGGUAUUUGUUUGCCUUCUAGUCCUGAGUAUUGAAUUAAAUGUUAUAUUUUGAUAUAUUCUCUUGUAGAGUCUUUUACACUGGUCUCUUAAGGGAUCUGAUAUAAUUUUCAGUAGAAACUGAUAUGCUAGGGAAAUCGAUUUCUGAUGAAGAUUAACACUUCUUACAUAUAUAGAGACAGUUUGAGCCAAUAGCAUAUAACACACUCAUGAAAUAUGAAUUUGAAUAGCCUGUAAAAAUAAAAUAAAUUCUGAAUGAGAAUAGAAAAGAAAAAGAAUCUUUUAUACUGGAUCAGAUUUGUCUAGAAAUGAACUAUUGGCUUUUUGAAACAUCAAAAGUAACCCAAUUAGCUUGGAUGUUCUACUUGUCUGGGUUUUUCUGAUCUACCUUAGGCCCCCCAGGCCUCCUUUUUGAUUCACACAGAAAGAGAAAGUAAAUGUUUAUAUGUAUUUUCUGCAUAAUGCUGUCUAGCUUAUUUCAAGUUUUAAAAAACUUCCAAGAAGAAAAUUAUCGGCCAGGCUCGAUGGCUCAUGCCUGUAAUCCCAGCACUUUGGGAGGCCGAGGCUGGUGGAUCACCUGAGUUCAGGAGUUUGAGACCAGCCUGGCCAACACAGCGAAACCCAAUGUCUACUAAAAAUACAAAAAUUAUCUGGGCGUGGUGGCACCUGACUGUGAUUCCAGCUGCUUGGGAGGCUGAGACAGGAGAAUCACUUGAACCCGGGAGGCGGAGGUUGCAGUGAGUCGAGAUCAUGCCACUGCACUCUACCCCGUGUGACAGAGCAAGGCUUCAUCUCAAGAAAAAAAGAAAGAAAAAGAAAGAGAGAGAGAGAGAGAGAGAGAGAGAGAGAGAGAAAGAGAGAAAGAAAAGAAAGAAAGAAAGAGAAAGAAAGAAAGAGAGAGAGAGAGAGAAAGAAAGAAGGAAGGAAGGAAGGAAAGAAAAAGAAAGAAAGAAAGAAAAAGAAAGAGAAAGAAAGAAAGAAAGGAAGGAAGGAAAAGAAAAUUAUCAUCAUCAGUCAGAAGAACAGAGCACAUUUUGAAACUCACCUUUAAUUAAAAUUAGAUAGCAGAUCUCAAAUCUUUCAUGCAAAUUUGUUCAUGACUUUUUCAAAGCUUCCAGGAGUGUGUUACAGUUUGUAAAGCAUGCAUUUGGGUCUCAUGAAAAGAAGUAGUUUAUGAAAAAGGGUCUAUCUAGCAUGAAUAUAUUUCAAAUGGGGCACAUGUCCUUACAAUAUUUUAAUAAAUUUGUAUUAAAGGUGUAAAAUAAGUUUAUAUAUUGUAAUACAGUGUUGUUUUACUUAGAAAAAAUUAUUGAAAAUAUUUUUUUUUCAACUGCUGAGAAAAGAAUUGGCCCUGGUAUAGUCAAGGUUUAUUUCUCGAAUUUAAAGCUAAAUUUACCUUCAGAGAGAGAAAAAAUAAAGGAUAACAGGACCAAAUUGGAAUUUUGCACGUACGUGUUGUACAUUGUUUUAUCUUUUAUAUAUCAUACAUUACCACAGGGAACGUUAGUUGCAUAGACUUGUUUUGUGAGAGCAAUAGUUUUCAGAUUAUUUUGUUAAGAAUGUGUUUAUCAUCUCAAAAUAUAUGGUUAUUUGGUAAAGAUU
rnacentral:lncRNA from 1 species